CCUACGGGAGGCAGCAGUGAGGAAUAUUGGUCAAUGGACGAGAGUCUGAACCAGCCAAGUAGCGUGAAGGAUGACUGCCCUAUGGGUUGUAAACUUCUUUUAUAUGGGAAUAAAAUGUUCCACGUGUGGGAUUUUGUAUGUACCAUAUGAAUAAGGAUCGGCUAACUCCGUGCCAGCAGCCGCGGUAAUACGGAGGAUCCGAGCGUUAUCCGGAUUUAUUGGGUUUAAAGGGAGCGUAGGUGGAUUGUUAAGUCAGUUGUGAAAGUUUGCGGCUCAACCGUAAAAUUGCAGUUGAAACUGGCAGUCUUGAGUACAGUAGAGGUGGGCGGAAGUCGUGGUGUAGCGGUGAAAUGCUUAGAUAUCACGAGGAACUCCGAUUGCGAAGGCAGUUCACUGGACUGCAACUGACACUGAGGCUCGAAAGUGUGGGUAUCAAACAGGAUUAGAUACCCUUGUAGUC
rnacentral:rRNA from 1 species